rnacentral:lncRNA from 1 species
AGGAAGCGUGGGUGAAGGAGUCAAAAGAUACUGCAUGGUAGGAAGCGUGGGUGAAGAGUCAAAAGAGUGGGCGCGCAUGGUGGUGAGAUGCGCUGAUAACUGUAGCUGUUGUACUUAGCACAGAAAUGGAGGUGGUGGGUUGGGCUUCUCUUUUAGGAAAAAUGACUCUUGGGCUUAAUUAUUAACAAGGAAGGCUUAAUUAAAACUAGGGCCCAAAAUAAUAUUUGUCAAAGCCCAACACAUUCAAAAAUUAAAGCUUAACAUAGACUUAAAUUAAAUCAUGUACAAAUAAAUACUAAUCAUAUAGAAUAAUCACAUAUUCAUAUAAUUCGAUUUAUGAAAUGCACAAAAUUUCAAAAGACUAAAUUUUUAUAAAGGCUUCUGAAAAUAAAUUUUGUUGGAAUUUAAAAUAUAAAUCAUUUUU